rnacentral:sRNA from 1 species
CUUGGCCAUGUGCCAGCGAAACAUUGCCCUCAACAGCCACCUGACUGCCACUGGAGGUGGUAUAGUUAAAGUCAAAGAACUGGACUGGCUGAAGGACGACCUCUGCACAGAUCCCGAGGUCCCCUUCAGUUGGUCACAAGAGGAAAUUUCUGACUUGUAUGAUCACACCACCAUCCUGUUUGCAGCCGAAGUGUUUUACGACGACGACUUGACUGAUGCUGUGUUUAAAACACUCUCCCGACUCGCCCACAGAUUGAAAAAUGCCUGCACAGCCAUACUGUCGGUGGAGAAGAGGUGAGCUUUGCGCCACGGGAACCGUGCUGACGUCCCGAGUAUCAGCAGAACUCUCACCUCCUAAUUGUGUCCUUGUCAGUGUCAACUCAGUGCCACUUAUUGAGCACCUACUGUGUGCCAGGCCUGUGCUCAUCCUUUGUGUACGUUACUGCACUGAAUCUGCAUCCUAGCCCUGUGUGCAGGCGCUGCUGUCCCACUUUACUGAUGAAGAGAGGAAGGCUGGGAAGCAUCAGGGGCCUUGCCCAGGGCACAGCUAGUUAGUGAUAGACAGGGACUUGAAUGCCGACUGUACUGGAACCUCAAUGCUUGGCCAGCACACACGGUCGAGAGCUCCUCUUCCUGAUUGUUCUC